CUGCAGACCAGGUUCUGAAUGUGACUCGGUGACAGCUUGAGGUCUUCCCGACAUCACCAGGACAGGACCUGGGCUUGAGGACCAUCUGUCAUCUCACUCUGGAUCACCUCCCUUCCCUCCAUGACUCAGGGAGAAAGAACCCAGGCCUUCAACUCCUAGCUACGGCCCCUUCCUGGAAAAAUAUCUGUUAGAUUAAAAGUUCACAUACCAGCUUAGCUACUUACCUGGUAUGGAACCCUAGACAAGCUACU
rnacentral:lncRNA from 1 species